ACUGUCGGCUUCAACCUAACUUACACAUGCAAGUAUCCGCGCCCCCGUGAGGAUGCCCUACAGUCCCCCGCUCGGGAACAAGGAGCCGGUAUCAGGCACGCCUUCCUUGCCCAAGACACCUUGCUUUGCCACACCCUCAAGGGAACUCAGCAGUGAUAAACAUUAAGCCAUAAGUGAAAACUUGACUUAGUUAAGGUUUAGAGGGCCGGUUAAACUCGUGCCAGCCACCGCGGUUAUACGAGAGGCCCAAGUUGACAGCUACCGGCGUAAAGCGUGGUUAAGGUUGAAUCAAAAACUAAAGUCGAACUCCUUCAAGGCCGUUUAACGUGUUCGAAACGGAGAAGCCCAACUACGAAAGUGACUUUACCUGCCUGACCCCACGAAAGCUAUGGCACAAACUGGGAUUAGAUACCCCACUAUGCUUAGCCCUAAACAUAGAUAGAACACCACCUUUCUAUCCGCCCGGGUACUACGAGCAUUAGCUUGAAACCCAAAGGACUUGGCGGUGCUUUAGACCCAUCUAGAGGAGCCUGUUCUAGAACCGAUAAUCCCCGUUGAACCUCACCCUUCCUCGUUUUUCCCGCCUAUAUACCGCCGUCGUAAGCUUACCCCGUGAGGGGCCAGUAGUGAGCUUAAUUGGCACAGCCCAAGACGUCAGGUCGAGGUGUAGCUUAUGGAAGGGCAAGAAAUGGGCUACAUUCCCUAUUAUAGGGAACACGGACAACGUACUGAAAUACGCGUUUGAAGGUGGAUUUAGUAGUAAGCAGCAAACAGAGUGUCCUGCUGAAACUGGCUCUGAAGCGCGCACACACCGCCCGUCACUCUCCCCAAGCAUAACCAAAUUUUGCCCUUAAAUAAGAUUACAUCUUUGCAAAGGGGAGGC
rnacentral:ncRNA from 1 species